UCUGUCGAGAUUGCGCCGUGAGCAAUCUCUUGCGAGCAAGGUGGACUUUCUCCUCCGCCUCUCGCAAUACGUCGGGACCGAAUUCCGCUCGCUCGCCCACGUCACUCCAAUGAAUGGGAGAUCGGCACUUCCGCCCAUAAAGAGCCUCGAACGGUGCCAUCCCCACACUCGCAUGAUAACUGUUGUUGUAGGCGAACUCGGCCAUCGGCAGGUGCUUACACCAACUCCCCUUGUAAUCAAUGGCACACGCCCGCAACAUAUCC
rnacentral:lncRNA from 1 species